rnacentral:rRNA from 1 species
ACAUGCUUCGGGUCUUGGUGUCAUAAUAACUUACGAAUCGCAUGGGCCUUGUGCCGGCGAUGGUUCAUUCAAAUUUCUGCCCUAUCAACUUUCGAUGGUAGAGUAGUGGUCUACCAUGGUUUCAACGGGUAACGGGGAAUUAGGGUUCUAUUCCGGAGAGGGAGCCUGAGAAACGGCUACCACAUCCAAGGAAGGCAGCAGGCGCGCAAAUUACCCAAUCCCGACACGGGGAGGUAGUGACAAUAAAUACUGAUACAGGGCUCUUUUGGGUCUUGUAAUUGGAAUGAGUACAAUUUAAAUCCCUUAACGAGGAACAAUUGGAGGGCAAGUCUGGUGCCAGCAGCCGCGGUAAUUCCAGCUCCAAUAGCGUAUAUUAAAGUUGUUGCAGUUAAAAAGCUCGUAGUUGAAUUUUAGGCCUGGUUGGACGGUCUGCCUUUGGUUUGUACUGUCCUGACUGGGUCUUACCUUCUGGUGAGCUGUCGUGUUGUUUACUCAGUGCGGCAGGGAACCAGGACUUUUACUUUGAAAAAAUUAGAGUGUUUAAAGCAGGCAUUCGUUGAAUACAUUAGCAUGGAAUAAUAGAAUAGGACUUUGGUUCUAUUUUGUUGGUUUCUAGGACCGAAGUAUGAUUAAU